UACGAGUGCCUCAAGCGUUAUCCGGAAUCAUUGGGCGUAAAGGAUGUGUAGGUGGCCCGGUAAGUCUAACGUCAAAUUUUGCGGCUUAACCGUAAACAUGCGCGGGAAACGGCAGGGCUCGAGGGUGCAAGGGGUCUCUGGAACUCUAGGUGUAGCGGUGAAAUGCGUUGAUAUCUAGGGGAACACCAAAAGCGAAGGCAAGAGACUGGGGCAUUCCUGACACUGAAACAUGAAAGCGUGGGUAGCGAAUGGG
rnacentral:rRNA from 1 species